rnacentral:rRNA from 1 species
CACGUAGGGCGCGAGCGUUGUCCGGAAUCAUUGGGCGUAAAGAGCGCGUAGGCGGCUCGGUAAGUCCGCUGUGAAAGUCCAGGGCUCAACCCUGGAAUGCCAGUGGAAACUGUCGAGCUAGAGUCCGGAAGAGGCGAGUGGAAUUCCUGGUGUAGCGGUGAAAUGCGCAGAUAUCAGGAGGAACACCGAUGGCGAAGGCAGCUCGCUGGGACGGUACUGACGCUGAGACGCGAAAGCGUGGGGAGCAAACAGG